UGGGGAAUUUUGGACAAUGGGGGAAACCCUGAUCCAGCCAUCCCGCGUGUGCGAUGAAGGCCUUCGGGUUGUAAAGCACUUUUGGCAGGAAAGAAACGUCAUGGGUUAAUACCCCGUGAAACUGACGGUACCUGCAGAAUAAGCACCGGCUAACUACGUGCCAGCAGCCGCGGUAAUACGUAGGGUGCAAGCGUUAAUCGGAAUUACUGGGCGUAAAGCGUGCGCAGGCGGUUCGGAAAGAAAGAUGUGAAAUCCCAGAGCUCAACUUUGGAACUGCAUUUUUAACUACCGGGCUAGAGUGUGGCAGAGGGAGGUGGAAUUCCGCGUGUAGCAGUGAAAUGCGUAGAUAUGCGGAGGAACACCGAUGGCGAAGGCAGCCUCCUGGGAUAACACUGACGCUGAUGCACGAAAGCGUGGGGAGCAAACAGG
rnacentral:rRNA from 1 species